rnacentral:misc_RNA from 1 species
AACGCACAUUGCGCCCCGUGGUAUUCUGCGGGGCAUGCCUGUCCGAGCGUCAUUUCAACCCUCAAGCCCGGCUUGGUGUUGGGCCCCGCCCGUCUGCGGCCGGCCAGGAACCCCUCACUCAGUGGUUGACCUCGGAUCAGGUAGGGGUACCCGCUGAACUUAA